rnacentral:sRNA from 1 species
CUUGGUCAUUUAGAGGAAGUAAAAGUCGUAACAAGGUUUCCGUAGGUGAACCUGCGGAAGGAUCAUUACUAGAGCAAAGGAUAGACAGCGCCCGCGGAGCUUGCUCCCUGGGGCUACCCUACUUCGGUAGGGUUAGAGUCGUCGGGCCUCUCGCAGAAGCUCGGUCCUGAACUCCACCCUUGAAUAAAUUACCUUUGUUGCUUUGGCGGGCCGCCUCGUGCCAGCGGCUUCGGCUGUUGCGUGCCCGCCAGAGGACCACAACUCUUGUUUUUAGUGAUGUCUGAGUACUAUAUAAUAGUUAAAACUUUCAACAACGGAUCUCUUGGUUCUGGCAUCGAUGAAGAACGCAGCGAAAUGCGAUAAGUAAUGUGAAUUGCAGAAUUCAGUGAAUCAUCGAAUCUUUGAACGCACAUUGCGCCCUCUGGUAUUCCGGGGGGCAUGCCUGUUCGAGCGUCAUUAUAACCACUCAAGCUCUCGCUUGGUAUUGGGGUUCGCGGUCUCGCGGCCCCUAAAAUCGGUGGCGGUGCCUGUCGGCUCUACGCGUAGUAAUACUCCUCGCGAUUGAGUCCGGUAGGUUUACUUGCCAGCAACCCCUAAUUUUUACAGGUUGGCCUCGGAUCAGGUAGGGAUACCUGCUGAACUUAAGCAUAUCAAUAAGCGGAGGAAAAGAAACCAACAGGGAUUACCUCAGUAACGGCGAGUGAAGCGGUAACAGCUCAAAUUUGAAAGCUGGCUCUUUUAGGGUCCGCGUUGUAAUUUGUAGAAGAUGCUUCGGGUGUAGCUCCGGUCUAAGUUCCUUGGAACAGGGCGUCAUAGAGGGUGAGAAUCCCGUAUGUGACUGGGUGCUUUCGCUCAUGUGAAGCUCUUUCGACGAGUCGAGUUGUUUGGGAAU